ACUCAACGCGAAUUUUUUUAUAAAGGGUGAGUCUAUUCUGCUAAAGCAAGCCUUAAUAGGGAUCCUUGAUCAGUUAGUUAGCUCUAAACUUGUUAAUACAAGAGUUU
rnacentral:sRNA from 10 species